UGAAGCUGGAAUCGCUAGUAAUCGCAGGUCAGCAUACUGCGGUGAAUACGUUCCCGGGUCUUGUACACACCGCCCGUCACACCAUGGAGCCGGAAAUGCCCGAAGCCAGUGACCCAACCUUAGGGAGGGAGCUGUCGAAGGUGGAGCCGGUAACUGGGGUGAAGUCGUAACAAGGUAUC
rnacentral:rRNA from 1 species